rnacentral:lncRNA from 1 species
AACCGGCUCGCGGCCGCCGGCUUCCGAGUUUUAAAUAAACUCCCCGGACACGAGUUUUUAAAUAAACUCGUGUCCCCCCCGCCCCCGCCCCCUCGCGCGCGCGCGACCGCAGGGGUCCCCCGGCCUCUUGUGCCCUGGGGGUCCCGGCCCGGCGCAGGCUCCUCCGGACCCGGGGGUAGGGGCGUCGGGACCCCACGAGCGGCACCAGGCCUGUACUUCUCUGCGUUCUCCAUGAGGAAGCAAGCCCGGGGCCUUCAGGAACCACGACGCCUAAUGAGCUUCCACCCAGAUGGUCCCGAAACCCGAGGGACGCAGGGGAGGCGCCCAGGUCCUCAGAUGGGCCAGGAAUGGCCUCGUGGGGCCUACUCAGAAGGACUCAGAGUUCUUCCCGGUGGUCUCAGCGAUGGCUGGUGUGGAAACCACGCGUGUCCCCAUGCUGCCGGCCUGUGUGUAUCAAGGACUAGAUCACACUUUCCGGCUGGCCCAGUUCUGCAGCCCUCAUAAAAUACACCCAUGUCGGUCGGGCGUCGCUGCCCGGCGCACUGCCUUGCAGCAGGGACCUUUUCGAGCUUAUUUUCUUCAGUAGGAAACACGAAAACUAGCCACUGCCCCGUCGUGUUUUUUCCUUGCGUAAAAGAAAGGGGCUCCUUACUACAGGUCGGCCACCGGCUCUUCAGGUACAGAGAUCUGAACUUGGAAAGACCUGCCUUUCUAAAGGGAGUGAUAAUGAACACUGCGGCGUAAGUGUCCCAGGAUUUAAAACCGAAACUCCAACAAAAAAAAAUUUUUUAAACUCUGCUACUAGCAAGAGCACAUUGUGUAAAACACUGACACGGGACAUGGUUUAAACAUGUCAACAUUUUCUAACAUUGGGAUGAAGUGGUGUCUACCUCCCGUCCCGUGAAGCGUCAGGGCACCGACCACACGGACCCCCCUCCGUGGAGCUCACGGCCCUGUGCUCAGCUCUGCUAAGACCAGCGAGUUUUCCAGAGCUGGGGGAGCCCGGUUCUCAAGCAAGCCCCGCAGUUAUCAGGGUCGCGCAGGAAGCGGCAGCGCUCGGAAGGACGUCUGCCCUUAUGAAGUACAUAUGUUGGCAGGUGUGCUGGCGCUCUUUAAAUAAAUUAUAUAAAAUAUUUCAGAGCUGGUAAGGAAUUUGGAAAAGCGUCUUCCAAUUUCCAUUAGCAUUGCAAUCCCUAAUCCCUAACUCGUAUGCUCA